rnacentral:rRNA from 1 species
GUAGGGGGCAAGCGUUAUCCGGAUNUACUGGGUGUAAAGGGAGCGUAGACGGUGUGGCAAGUCUGAUGUGAAAGGCAUGGGCUCAACCCGUACUGGCUCUGGAAACUGAUCAGCUAGAGAACAGAAGAGGACGGCGGAACUCCAUGUGUAGCGGUAAAAUGCGUAGAUAUAUGGAAGAACACCGGUGGCGAAGGCGGCCGUCUGGUCUGAUUCUGACACUGAAGCACGAAAGCGUGGGGAGCAAAUAGGAUUAGAUACCCUAGUAGUCCACGCCGUAAACGAUGAGAACUAGGUGUUGGGGGAAUAACUCAGUGCCGCAGUUAACGCAGUAAGUUCUCCGCCUGGGGAGU